rnacentral:rRNA from 1 species
AACGAACGCUGGCGGCAUGCCUAACACAUGCAAGUCGAACGAGACCUUCGGGUCUAGUGGCGCACGGGUGCGUAACGCGUGGGAACCUGCCCUUAGGUUCGGAAUAACUCCCCGAAAGGGGCGCUAAUACCGGAUAAUGUCUUCGGACCAAAGAUUUAUCGCCUUUGGAUGGGCCCGCGUUGGAUUAGCUAGUUGGUAGGGUAAAAGCCUACCAAGGCGACGAUCCAUAGCUGGUCUGAGAGGAUGAUCAGCCACACUGGGACUGAGACACGGCCCAGACUCCUACGGGAGGCAGCAGUAGGGAAUAUUGGACGAGGGGCGAAAGUCUGAUGCAGCAAUGCCGCGUGAGUGAUGAAGGCCUUAGGAUUGUAAAGCUCUUUUACCCGGGAUGAUAAUGACAGUACCGGGAGAAUAAGCUCCGGCUAACUCCGUG